rnacentral:rRNA from 1 species
CACGUAGGGGGCGAGCGUUGUCCGGAUUUAUUGGGCGUAAAGAGCUCGUAGGCGGCUCAGUAAGUCAGGUGUGAAAACUCCAGGCUCAACCUGGAGACGCCACCUGAUACUGCUGUGGCUAGAGUCCGGUAGGGGAACACGGAAUACCCGGUGUAGCGGUGAAAUGCUUAGAUAUCGGGUGGAACACCAGUGGCGAAGGCGGUGUUCUGGGCCGGAACUGACGCUGAGGAGCGAAAGCGUGGGUAGCAAACAGG